GUGUGUGUCUGUGUCUGUGUGCAUGUGUGUGUGUGACUGAAAUAGUAGUAGACUGAAUGAGAGGCUUGUAGUUGUGUGUGAGAGAGUUAAACCUGUCACGGAAGAGGCGGGACAUAUUUUAAAGAUUGGCUGGCGCAUGCGUGGAACCCAAACUGUGCAAUAUUAGGUAUAUAUGGAUUGGCCAGUAGGGGGCAGCAGGCCAGCCAAUUACCUGCUGAGCCAACAACAAUGAGCUUCGGAGAAGAAGCCGGAGCAUGGCUAACGGCAGUGAAAGUAAGGAGAGAAUCGGUCAAGCAGCCGCAAUUUUAAAUAGCAUUUUAUCAUCACCGGAUGCAACAAACAGUGUGGCCAAUGCCUUAAAAGAAAGAGCUCAUCCGGUGGCCCAUACUGAUUCUGUUGAGACAGAAUUAACAUCUUUGUUUCGUACUUGGAGCAGCUGGCCGAAGCUUAGCGGUGUCAACAGGAAAUCAAGAUGAAGAAGGAUCAUAUAAGCUUCAAAACAUCCUUGCAUUUGCAACUGGAGCAAAUGAGAUACCACCAAUCGGCUUUUCCCCGGCACCAUCCAUUGAGUUUCUCCAUGAGGGCAGUGAAGAAGGGUCCGCCAAACCAAUGUUCCCCAAGGCCAACACAUGUAUAAACUGCUUAAAACUGCCACUUGUAACUUCUUAUGAAGUGUUUAAGGAAAACAAGGACUUUGCCAUUGCGAACACCCGAGGAUUUGGGAGAACAUAAAAGUUUUUUUUGUUUUGUUUUUUUUGAGUGAUUGCAGUUCUCACAUUAGAGUUAACACUUGUUUGCUACACUUGCUAAGGCUGCUCCAGUUUAGCAAGUUUAUUUUGUUAAAGUAAAAGUACAAUGGACAUUGGCAGAGAGCAGAGAUUGGCUUAAAAUAAAAACAUUAAACAAUUUUAAGUUGAUUUAAAUCAGUCAUUUUGAUCUAUUUUGUUGAAAACUUUUUUUUUUUCAAUUUGAAAAUUUGAGUUUUUUAAAUCUAUUUUACUGCCACCUGCUCACUAUUACAUGCAACGUGAUCCUCCAUUGAAUCUUCAAAGAAACCAUUUGUCUUUUUGUAAUGGUUCAGCUUUUAUGUUUGUACUACUCUAGGUUUGAAAGAUUUAAAAUGACCUCAGGCCAGCCUGUUUUAUACACUUCCUUGGUAGAUGUUUUACCAUCAUUUUUCAGUGGCUUACUGUUGAAUUUGGUGAUCUUUACACCGAUGUUUGUAUCUCGUCUUUGUACUUCUCAUUUUGAAAAUGUAUUCCUUCCAGAAUGUGUGAAUACAGAUACUAUGAAGUCAUGUAUCGUCAGUACAGUUUAUUUUAGCUCUACAUACAAAUUUAAUCUUUAAAUAAAAUACAUAGCAUCAUGCUACCGUGAACUAACAGUAA